UACGGAGGAGGCAAGCGUUAUCCGGAAUUAUUGGGCGUAAAGCGUCCGCAGGUGGCACUUCAAGUCUGUCGUCAAAGACUGGGGCUUAACCCUGGAAAGGCGGUGGAAACUGAAGCGCUAGAGUGCGGUAGGGGUAGAGGGAAUUCCCGGUGUAGCGGUGAAAUGCGUAGAGAUCGGGAAGAACAUCGGUGGCGAAAGCGCUCUACUGGACCGCAACUGACACUCAGAGACGAAAGCUAGGGGAGCGAACAGG
rnacentral:rRNA from 1 species